GAUGAACGCUGGCGGCGUGCUUAAUACAUGCAAGUCGAGCGAAGCACUUUAACGGAAUUCUUCGGAAGGAAGGUAAAGUGACUGAGCGGCGGACGGGUGAGUAACGCGUGGGUAACCUGCCUUAUACAGGGGGAUAACAGUUAGAAAUGGCUGCUAAUACCGCAUAAGCGCACAGGACCGCAUGGUCUGGUGUGAAAACUCCGGUGGUAUAAGAUGGACCCGCGUCUGAUUAGCUGGUUGGUGGGGUAACGGCCCACCAAGGCGACGAUCAGUAGCCGGCCUGAGAGGGUGAACGGCCACAUUGGGACUGAGACACGGCCCAG
rnacentral:rRNA from 1 species